rnacentral:lncRNA from 12 species
GUUUCCACCAGCAUCACUUCGUCAUCAUUUUCAUCAGCCCUGUGAAGUCCUGUAUUUUUGCAGUCAUGUUAAUGGCAUCCAAGGUAAAAACCAAUGACAGCAUAGAGGGCAUGUAUUAGGUGGGAAGAAAUGUUUAAAUGAGGGCUGGUAUGAACAUUGUCAGUUUAUUGGUGAAUAUCAUAAUGUCUAUAUUCCUGUAACCUUGGAUUGUUUGGGAAUUAGAUCCUAAAUAUUCAGAAGAUAGGAACCUCUAUGUUUAUAUUAGUAUUUUCUUUAUUUUCCCAACAUUUGUUAGAGAGAGAGAGAGAGAGAGAGAGAGAGAGGAGAGGGGUAGAAGGAGGAGAGAGAAUCUCAAGCAGAUUCCACACUGAGUCCAGAGCCCAACAUGGGGCUCAAUCUCAUGACCCAAAGACCAUGACCUGAGCCAAGAUCAAGAGUUGGAUGCUUAAUCAAGUCAGCCACCCAGACACCUCUGUAUUGCUAUAUUCAAUGACUAGGCUUUUAUGAACUAAUUUGAAGUCUUUUACCUAUCUUAAUUACUUGAAUAUAUGACUUGAGAUAAUUAUAGUUGUAUAGUAGAAAUUUUCCAAACACAAUGGUGAUAAGCAGUGCUGCGAAGGUUAAUAGCAAAGCUCUGACAAGCUUAGCCUGUGCAGCACUGGCACAGCCUUAUGAAAACAAUUAUGCAAAAAUAAUAAUCCUGUUGCAACUUCAAAUCCAGGUGCAUAAAAAUAUUAAUUGAUUUUUUUUCUUUCAGUAGUGCUAAGUUGCCAGUGGAAACUGCCCAUGGGCCACAUGAGAGACCACGGAUCCUGUAAUGCUGGGAGGCAUAAAGCUGGCACAGAAGUGCUGCAGAGAGGCUGUCACCAGUUAGAGGGAAGGAGCCAGAGAAGCAAGAGGUGUGGCAACAGCCAAGGGUCUUCAAAGGUAGAUGGACUGUGCACUCCCUUCCUGAAUGGGAGACCAGCACAGAGACCUUGGGGGCACGCCCUGCCCAGCCCUGCCCAGCCUCGCCCAGGCUCCAGCCGGAGGCUCCGCCCCAGGCCAUGGCCUUCCACUUGCUCACGUGACCAUGCCACAGGCAUGCAGAGAGGCAGGCUGAGCUCUGCCAGGCCAGCAGGGUCCUUGCCAGGCCUGGUGGACUUCGAGGACAAGGAGCAGGUGAAGGCCUUUCUGGAGAACGUCGUGGAGUGCAAGUACCAGUGCUACUGUGAGAAGGACCCGGAUGGUCUGUAUGAGCUGUUGGCUGUUCUGCCAGUCCAGCUGGGGCCACGUGUGGACAGCCAGGAAGACCUGACCUUCCUCUGGGAUAUGUUUGGUGAGAAAAGCCUGCAUUCACUGGUAAAGGAGACUCCCUCGGCAAGAUGGCAGUUAAAAGGGGUCUUCAUUCCCAGUUUCUCACAUUAGCCAAUUCAAGGGCUCCUUGUGGUGGGAUCAGAAAUUAUCCAGAGUGUGGGAAAGUGACCGUUAAAAACCCCACCUGGAGAAAAAAAAAAAUACAAAAUGAAAAAAAAAAAAAAAGGAACCUUCACAUACAGGUAUUUAUGUGGACAUAUUUUCAUUUCUGGGGGCCAUGUAUGUAGGAGCGGAAUUGCUGGGUUAAGUGCUAAGUCUGUGUUUAACACUUAGAAGAACCAGCAGUUUCCCAAGGUGGCUCCACUGUUUUGUAUUCUCACCAGCAGUGUGUGAGGCUUCUGAUUUCUGUAUGCUUGUCAACCCUAUUUUUUAUUUUUUUUUUAUUUUUUUUUAUUUUUUAUUAUUAUUUUUUUUAACCCUAUUUUUUAAAAAAAGAUUUUAUUUAUUUGAGAGAGAGAGCAAGAGAGCGAGCAGGGAGGUGGGCAGUGGUGAGGGAGAGGGGCAGAGAGGAAAUCUCAAGCUGACUCCUUGUGAACACAGACCCUGAUUUGGGGCUCAAUCUCACACGACCCUGGUAUCAUGACUUGAGUCAAAAUCAAGAGUCGGCUGUGUAACCAACUGAGCCGCUGAAGUGCCCCACCAACACUUGUUUUAGCUAACACUUGCUUUUGUUUGACUUUUUUGUUCUCACCUUUCUAGAAGAAGGUGGGACAUGAUACCUCCUUGUUGCUGUGGUUUACGUUUCCUUGAUGACUGAUGAAGUUCAUUAUCUUUUUGUGUGUUUAUUGGCUAUUUUUGUAUCAUCUUUGCAGAAACGUCUUUUUGGAUUCUUUGGACAGUUUUCUCAUUAGAUACCUUUGAAAUAGUAGACUUCUUUUUAGAACAGUCUUAGAUUUACAGAAGUGUCUUUUCCAUUUUUUGCCUAUUUUUAAGGGAGUUGUGUUUUUCCCUUAUCAUUGAGUUUUAACAGUUGUCUUUUGUGGAUACGUGUCGUUUAUUAGAUACGUGUUCUGCAAAUUUUUUUUUUUCCAGUCUGUGGCUUGUUUCUUCA